rnacentral:tRNA from 2 species
GGUUCCAUGGUGUAGUGGUUAGCACAUCUGCCUUACACGCAGAAGCUCCUGGGUUCGAGUCCCAGUGGAACCA